CCAAUCCAACGGCACAGGUCAAAGGUAUCGUCAUAUGAGAUACAGCAAAUGAGUCCGAAGCGCAACUAAUAGUCAAAGUCUAUCAGUCAUGGGAUUUAAUCGGCAUUUGUGUGAACUUUCCCCUAAAAAAAUAACGUAACAUGCAAAAAUCUCAACUUGAUCUCAUUUCGGAAUGUAUAUCAUAUAUUGCUAUUUAUUUAUUUGGGUUUUACGGCGCACCAGCACAGUAUAGGUUAUAUGGCGCCAAACAGGACUACAAAUUUUGGUUCAACAUUUCAUUUACACCGAAAUAAAAGCAUGAGGUAUGGAAUCAAAAUUUGCAUACCUGCUGGAAUCACAGAGUUACUGCAAAACCAAGUGUUAAGACCCUAUAAGUCGCCUCUUACGAUCAUGCAAGGGUAAGGCAGUGGUUCCAAUUAUUUUCAUACACAGAUCGUCCCAGAACCACAUCGGUCAUAUAUUGCUACACAGAACAGUGGUGCGGUGCAAUGACCCGGCAACUUAAAUGAACUCGUACAAAACAUGUUUGACACAGUCUUACACAAUUCACUCAACCUUUGUGAUUUAAUCAACGUGUUAUUCCCGAGGCACUGUUCAUGCUCAGUUCACUUAGCACGUAACUUUCGUGACAACAUAUUGUUAUUGUUAUAGCUAGCGCGGGUUUUCAGAGAGGCGAGUGAACAAAAUGGUAUGUAAUUUUUUUAUUCUCUGUUUUCUUUUCUAUUUUCUUUCAAUUGCUGUCGUUAUUUCUUUUCUCAUUUCUUCCGUUAAACUUGUAAAGAUUCAUUUCUUGGUUUUCGCCCAGAUUAUCAUUCAAAUUCCUGUAAACGCAAGAAACUACUUCUAGAGAAGUAUCUAAUACAACAGUUUGUUUUGUUUACACUGAUUAUAAAGAUUGAUUCCAAAGAAUAUUCAUUAGCUUUAUUGUAUUUUACUGGGGGUGAAAAGCCAGUCGUUCUCGAGAAUUUUUCAGCACGCAUUCAUUCCGUAUAGGGACCGAUGCCAUUAUUAUGCACAAACUAGAUAGGUAUGAUGGAAUUUUCGCCUGUACUUUUUGCUAUUGCUUGAAGUGAACGGUUGCUAUGGAAACAAUCAAAUUAUGUAUUGUGCACGUAUUUUUUACUGGGAACAUGUUUUAAGUCUAAUUUAUUUGACUGUGACGACAACUUGGCAUCCAUGAAAAAUUGUGCGAAAAAGGGACGCAUGGCGUGGCUUACAACAGACUUCCGCACUACCAUCUAAAUUGAAAUUUAAUUUAAAUUGAUUUAAAAUAACGUUAUAUACUGUUCUAUUACAUCAUAUGUUGUCAAACCAUUAUAGACAAAUAAUCGUUAAUUGGUUUAUUUUAGGGCCAACUUUUAACGUUAAUCAUAUCCUUGAAUACAGAUUCCGGGUCUUUCUAUCGAUUGCAAAGUAUCAUGCAGUAUAAACAAAUAUUUUAAAAUUGCCUCCAUAGCUUUAACUGCAACUACGUUUUAUUUUUUGCAGUUUUACAGGUUGCUAUGAUGGCAUUGCAUAGAUGAGAGACCAUCCAUGAUUCAUACACAACAUCGACUGACGUGGUUUCAGAUUUGGAGCAGGAAGGGUGACCGUGUGUACAUACAGAUCAUGGGCUAUGGUGUUGUCAGAUCUGCAGUAUAAAUGGGUUAUCACGGAAACGUAUCUCUACAUCUAGGCAUUGGUAUAUGGAUGGUCGACGUUCAGAUGUACAAAGUUAUACAGCAGAUUUUGUAGCAUAAAGGGUG